rnacentral:rRNA from 1 species
AUUGAACGCUGGCGGCAGGCCUAACACAUGCAAGUCGAGCGGAGCGGCGGAAGGGUGAGUAAUGCCUAGGAAUGUGCCUGGGAGUGGGGGAUCACGUCCGGAAACGGGAGCUAAUACCGCAUACUAUCAGAUGAGCCUAGGUCGGAUUAGCUAGUUGGUGGGGGAAAGGCAUCCAAAGGCGACGAUCCAUAGCUGGUCUGAGAGGAUGAUCAGUCACACGGGAAAGAAGACACGUUCCAGUCUCCUACGGUAGGCAGCAGUGGGGAAUAUUGGACAAGGGGCGAAAGCCUGAUCCAGCCAUGCCGCGUGUGUGAAGAAGGUCUUCGGAUUGUAAAGCACUUUAAGUUGGGAGGCGUUACCAACAGAAUAAGCACCGGCUAACUUCGUGCCAGCCGCCGCGGUAAGAC